AGCUUUGCGCAGUGGCAGUAUCGUAGCCAAUGAGGUUUAUCCGAGGCGCGAUUAUUGCUAAUUGAAAACUGUGAACUCUAUAAAGUUGAACUUGAGCCUAAAAUAAAAGAUGUUUUUUAUUGGACUGACUAACAGUAAGUU
ensembl:snRNA U4 U4 spliceosomal RNA